ACUCCCAAUCCCAGCACAAAGUGACAUCAAUGAUGCCGACACCAGGGACUGGGGUGAAGGGCCACGGAGCCAACCAAGAGCAGCCGGAAGUUUGUUCGAGCCGGGUGUCAGCUGGGUGGACGCGUUGUCCUUGAGACAGAGAACCUUGGAAAGAAUGGGCUUUGCUGGGCCCACCCCGCCGGUGGGAAGAGCCCAGGCCGGGGCAGCCGGGGCUGCUGUGGGGCUGGGGAAGCUGCCUGGUCUCCCUCCUCCGGGUGCAAUCCGCAACCGAAACCCGAGCCUGGGUCAUUAGCGGGGAAACCAAAGUGGCACAGGGAUCGCAUUUCAAAAGCUCAAAUAGACUGGCUGACUGCGGCGGAGGAGGACAGGGUGGCUGGGGGUGGGGGAAGCCGAGGGCUCCGAGGGUCCCAUCCAGGUUACAAUACCCCUUGACACCCCUUUCCCCCUCCCAACUUUUGCACCCCAUUCCAGGGACUGACCCAAAUCUGAGGUUCUGGAUGCCAAGGCUGUCCAACUUCAUCCUUGCUCAGUCUGCAGCCAGACCUGGGCCUUGCUUCUGGGACCCAGAAGACGGGAAUGGGAAGGAAAGCGCUCUUUCCCACUGCACAGUAGAUUUCCAAAGACACUGAAAUACUCCUGUGAAUUCCUGUGGAGACAGACACACUGCCACCCCCGGCACACGCAAAGAUUUCUCUGCAGCCGGGACUUGCUCCUCACAGCAUCCACGCCUCCCUCUAAUGUAGGAAUGGUGAUCAGUGGGUGUCCUGCUGCCCUCCGUGUUGGACUUUAAUGGCCACUUUCCCAUGAUGAUAACUCUAGGUCGCCCCCUGACGCUGGGCUCCACAGAUUUCUACAGGGACUGGCCAAGUGUUUGGAGAGAGAAUUACCAGCGAUGGUCCCCACGCUGAAUUUCCGAACAUUCUUUGCAAACCCGAAGGAGAGGGGAGGACUUUUUCUCCUCUGGGGCCCAAAUGGAAAUUAAAGCAAUGU